UUGGAGGAUUUGAAGACUUCAACUUGCAUAUUUGAAGGAUUUGAAGACUUCAACUUGCAAAUUUUGAAGAAUUUAAAGACAUCAGAA
rnacentral:pre_miRNA from 1 species